rnacentral:rRNA from 1 species
UACGUAGGGCGCAAGCGUUGUCCGGAAUUAUUGGGCGUAAAGAGCUCGUAGGCGGCCUGUUGCGUCCGCUGUGAAAUCCCGGGGCUCAACCCCCGGGCCUGCAGUGGAUACGGGCUGGCUAGAGGCAGGCAGGGGAGAACGGAAUUCCUGGUGUAGCGGUGGAAAUGCGCAGAUAUCAGGAGGAACACCGGUGGCGAAGGCGGUUCUCUGGGCCUGUACUGACGCUGAGGAGCGAAAGCGUGGGGAGCGAACAGG